UUAUUGUAUGAAUCCAACAGAGUAACGGUUCAGAGGGUUAUAAUAAAGAGCUAUCGAACGCUGAUUUGGGAGAGUUCUUAUACUGAGGUUUUAGUCCCUCUAAAGGAAUCCGUUACUAUCUGAUUAUUGUUUCGAUAGCUGUGGCAUGUAGGAUGUUUUGUCUACUCUAUUACUGCUUCUGAGCGUGUAACGCUGUCGACGAUUCGCCUGGGAGUGAUUAUACAUUGAGUAAAGGUAUAGCCUGAGUUGGAGUUUUGAAGGUUAGGAUAAUCGAAAUAAUUCAUAGUCAUGACCACUGCAAUGAGAAAAGAAUUCCUGAAGCCAAA